GUCUAUGGCCAUGCCACCCUGAACCAGCCUGAUGUCUGGUCUCAGAAGCUAAGCAGGCUUCAGCCUGGCUAAUACUUGGAUGGGAGACCACCUAGGAAUACCAGCUACUGUAGUCA
rnacentral:rRNA from 1 species